UCCGAGAAAGAGAGGCGUUGUGGAGAGGAGCGAAAAAGAACGACAGGGAUAAGAAACAGCGGUUUACAGGCAAUGGUAGUUUGAUUAUUUCCAUAUGAAAUAACUGAAGGUUAUGAGGCAUAUUUAACUAUGAUCAUCAUCGAACAAACCACAAGUCAGGAGACAAGAUGGAGACUGGAGAAUGAUAAAACAGAAGUUUUGAUGGCACUCCAAGUGUGUCAGACAACCCCUCGUCCAGAGCUCCUUUCCCACCCUGCCAUGGAGGCCGGCCUGGAAUUAGCCUCAUGAGUCCAGUAGAUGCUCAGAAAAAAUGCGGGGAACAUAUUCGUGGAUGCCUAUUCUAAGUGGAGCUCAGAAG